rnacentral:lncRNA from 1 species
ACGGAGACAAUUAUCGUUAACUGUGAACCAGGAUCUUUAUUGAGAGAGAGAGUUUAACAAAGAAAAAAAAAUGCUCCCGACAAUGGAGGAUAAAUACCUGGAGUUUUACAAUCUUGAGUCCACAGCUUCCUUGAAAGUUACUUUUGGUGUGGAUCUAAUGGCACAAAUCACAGUCUUUAGUCCGUUUCUGACAGCGGUACAGUCUUUAGUCCGAUACACCACACAGUUGAAGUUGUUUGAAGCGAAGGGUCUUUCCUUCCUUGCGAAUUUUCUCCUUUCUGGGUUCUUGAUUCUGAAGACGGCACUCGAGUAAUGUUCGGCGCUCGGCUUCGUUGGAGACGGGUGUUUGGAGAAGUACACGGGCAACCUACAGUCUCUUUUCUCCCUCUAUGUCUUGGGUGGCCACUGUCUAGAUGGAUUCUUCGGACGAGAGAUAUUAUUGCUCACUUCG